CGCGCAGGCGGUCGUUCAAGUCGAGUGUGAAAGCCCCCGGCUCAACUGGGGAGGGUCAUUCGAUACUGAUCGACUCGAAGGCAGGAGAGGGUAGUGGAAUUCCCGGUGUAGUGGUGAAAUGCGUAGAUAUCGGGAGGAACACCAAUGGCGAAGGCGACUACCUGGCCUGUUCUUGACGCUGAGGCGCGAAAGCUAGGGGAGCAAACG
rnacentral:rRNA from 1 species